rnacentral:rRNA from 1 species
GACGAACGCUGGCGGCGUGCUUAACACAUGCAAGUCGAGCGGAAAGGCCCUUUCGGGGGUACUCGAGCGGCGAACGGGUGAGUAACACGUGAGUAAUCUGCCCUUGGCUUCGGGAUAACCACCGGAAACGGUGGCUAAUACCGGAUACGACCAGCCCCGGCAUCGGGUGUUGGUGGAAAGUUUUUUCGGCCAGGGAUGUGCUCGCGGCCUAUCAGCUUGUUGGUGGGGUAAUGGCCUACCAAGGCUUCGACGGGUAGCCGGCCUGAGAGGGUGACCGGCCACACUGGGACUGAGACACGGCCCAGACUCCUACGGGAGGCAGCAGUGGGGAAUAUUGGACAAUGGGCGAAAGCCUGAUCCAGCAACGCCGCGUGAGGGAUGACGGCCUUCGGGUUGUAAACCUCUUUCAGUACCGACGAAGCGCCGAUGAUGGUGGUGACGGUAGGUACAGAAGAAGCACCGGCCAACUACGUGCCAGCCGCCGCCGUAACAC